UACGUAGGGUGCAAGCGUUAAUCGGAAUUACUGGGCGUAAAGCGUGCGCAGGCGGCUUUGCAAGACAGAUGUGAAAUCCCCGGGCUCAACCUGGGACCUGCAUUUGUGACUGCAUCGCUAGAGUACGGCAGAGGGGGAUGGAAUUCCGCGUGUAGCAGUGAAAUGCGUAGAUAUGCGGAGGAACACCGAUGGCGAAGGCAAUCCCCUGGGCCUGCACUGACGCUCAUGCACGAAAGCGUGGGGAGCAAACAGG
rnacentral:rRNA from 1 species